rnacentral:tRNA from 1 species
AAUGGAAUGCCUGAGUAAAAGGGUUAUCUUGAUAGGGUAAAUCAUGUAGAAUUCUACUUCCAUUA